rnacentral:other from 1 species
UCGACCCUGCGGUGCACGUUGGAAAAUUGAUAAUUUUUGAACCAACACUAUUAUCAAGGGAGCCCGACUAUUCCGUACGCUAACGCGCCCGGAUAGGGCACCCACCUGAUACCAAACGGUUCAGAGUAUCGUUCCAACGGCACUUGCGCGGGGUUUUU